UAAUCUAGGCCCUCCAUUUGUAAUACUUUUUUAUCUUAUGGUUGUUAGUUAAGCUAAUUGUUUAAUGUUACAUUUUGUUAUAUUUAUUUUAAAAGGUAAGAGUUUUUUUAAGUGCAACCAGUUAGAGCUGGUUACUUUUUUGCAAUGUGGCAAAUCUGAAAAGAUGGUUGGGUCAGUUAUGAUCAGAGUGCUUAGAGAGAACAACCGUCACUCUCUCACUCUACAGUUUCUUCUUCUUUCUUUAUUAGAAAAAACCCAAAAAAAAAAAUUCGAAUCUAAUUUCUUUGUCGCAGAAGGGGUUGGUCGUGAUCAAGCUUAGGAAAGAGUUUAACUUUGGCAACCUAUCGUGCUUCUCGUUCUUUCCCGUGGGUUAAGGUUAUUUUCUUCUCUGAUUUGGGUCAUCUCAUUUGGUUCAUCUCGUUCUUUCCCGUGGGUUAAGGUUCUUAUCCUAACUAGUAUUUGUCCUAAGAUGAGUGAUUUAUAAAUGUAGUGAAGCAAUAUGAUGAUAAUUAUAAGUUAUUGGCCGUUUUUAUUUAAUAUGCACAAAAUUGGCUGAAUGUCUUCGAAGAAGAGAAACCCAUCAUCAAAUGACAAAAACAAGGACAUUUCCAGCAAGCGUGCAAAAAACAACAAAAAAGGAAAGGAGAAAGUUACAAAUGAAGUAAGUUGGAUAUACAUUUCAAUUUCGAUUGUUUUUUAUCUAAAUGUAUGUGCACUUGGAGGUGUUCAUUGUCUUUUUAAUAUAUUUUGUCCCAUGAUGGAGAAGGGCUUGACAAGAAUACUUUAGGUUUUCUUACUUCUCAUCAACUAUGAUAGCAAAAGACAAAAAUCAGCGUGAUCAAACUCAACAAUCUGAGGCUAAGGCCGAUGUGAAAAAAACAUGGUACAACUCAGUGUCGGUGCUCCGGUGAUAAGAUCGUAACUGUUGUCAACCAUGGAAGACGAAUACAUAGCGGCUUGUGAAGCAACUAAGGAGGCAGUUUGAUUGAGAAAGUUCUACACUGAUUUGGAAGUAGUUCUAGAUAUGGAUAAGCCACUAAUCCUAUACUGUAACAACAGUUGAGCAGUAGCUAACUCCAAGGAACCAAGAAGCCACAAGAGAGGAGAACAUAUAGAGAGAAAAUACCACCUGGUUAGAGAUUGUACAUCGAGGUGAUGUGACUAUUAUGAAGAUAGUGUUGAAACAAAACCUUGCUGAUCCGUUUACCAAGACACUUCUUGCAAAGUCGUUUUUGGGUCAUGUAUGUAACAUGGGAUUAAGAAAAAUGUCUCAGUUGCUUUGAGGGCAAGUGUGACAUUGUUAGGAUUAAUGCCCUAAAAACAUGUAAAGGCAUUUUAUUGAAUUAAAUAAAAAGAACAAUUUUAUUAUA